UACGUAGGGUGCAAGCGUUAAUCGGAAUUACUGGGCGUAAAGCGUGCGCAGGCGGUUUUGUAAGACCGAUGUGAAAUCCCCGGGCUUAACCUGGGAACUGCAUUGGUGACUGCAAGGCUUGAGUGUGUCAGAGGGAGGUGGAAUUCCGCGUGUAGCAGUGAAAUGCGUAGAUAUGCGGAGGAACACCGGUGGCGAAGGCGGGUCUCUGGGCCGAUAUUGACGCUGAGGUGCGAAAGCGUGGGGAGCAAACAGG
rnacentral:rRNA from 1 species